rnacentral:rRNA from 1 species
AGAGGGUGAUCGGCCACACUGGGACUGAGACACGGCCCAGACUCCUACGGGAGGCAGCAGUAGGGAAUCUUCCGCAAUGGGCGAAAGCCUGACGGAGCAAUGCCGCGUGAGUGAUGAAGGUUUUCGGAUCGUAAAGCUCUGUUGCCAGGGAAGAACGCUUGGGAGAGUAACUGCUCUCAAGGUGACGGUACCUGAGAAGAAAGCCCCGGC